UACAGAGGUCCCAAGCGUUGUUCGGAUUCACUGGGCGUAAAGGGUGCGUAGGUGGUCGGGUAAAUUUGAUGUGAAAUCUCUGGGCUUAACCCGGAAACUGCAUUGAAUACUAUUCGGCUAGAGGGUUGGAGGGGGGACUGGAAUACUUGGUGUAGCAGUGAAAUGCGUAGAUAUCAAGUGGAACACCAGUGGCGAAGGCGAGUCUCUGGACGACUCCUGACACUGAGGCACGAAAGCUGGGGGAGCAAACAGG
rnacentral:rRNA from 1 species